GUUAAACAAAGAAGUAGACAAAUAUCAGGGCAAAAUGUGGUCACAUGACCGUUGUAGAUAUAUAAAGACAUGUUCCACGAUUUCAUUAAAAUAUUCUUUUAGAAAGCUGGAGAGAACAGAAUAUAUUCAUCGAUAAAAAGAUGAAGUUCUGGACAUUUGUAAUGGCCUUGUUUCUUCUUAUUCUUCUUGUUGUAUCAGCGUCAGUUCAAGGAUCAACUACAACAAGUUCAGCUACAACAACUACAACGGAUAUCAAUACAUCGACUACACAGUCGCAAGGCGGGGCGAGUGCCGCGACAGCCUCGGGGAUGACCAUCCUCUCCUGGGCAUUGGUGUCCCUCUUCUUCUCACAGUGAUACACACAAUGAUGGUCUUCCAAUCAUCGCCUAACAGACUCUAGAGACACCACACAACACUGCAGGAAUGUUGUCUUACAACUUGUUUUCUUUCAUAUCUUUGUCGAUUUCGAUUUAGCAAAACCAUGAUUUUUACUUGUUUAGGAGAAAUCAGACUUUCAUAUUUAUAAAAGAUAGUCAGUUUUGUAGAUACUUUGAUGUACAUUUGUAUUAUCUGAUUUCCCCAGAAUCUUCUUUUGUAAAUAUUCCUUCGUCAUUUGAUAUGUGAUAAAUGACAGAUUUCAAUCUCA